AAUUACCUUAUAAUUCAGAUCACUGAAGUACAGCAUGCAAUUGACCAACUUAAGAGAAAAUUGGAUACUGACAAAAUGAAUCUCAUCAUAGAAGUUAAGGACACAAUUGGAAGAAUUGGUUAUAUAACCAAGGCUUUCACUGGAAUGUCAUAUUUGAGAGAGAUGUGCAUAGACUCAGAUGUAACCAGACAACUUUAAGAACUUUACGAAACUAAGAUUGAUUUACAGAAGCCAAUAAAACCCUUGGAAAUAUCAACCUGGUACCUUGCUCACAGGAUUCUCAGCAGCUUUACCAGAGGCACCACUUACUAAAUACCUGAUUGCUUGCACGUAGGCCCCAGCUUUGGACACCCACCUGCAUUGUUGCCUUCUGAAAUGAGACACAGCUGUUUAACUGAAUCGACCUAUUCUCAAGAAUUGAGACUGGUUUCCAUAACUGAUGUAUAAUAAUAAUGUCUUAAUGAAACUUUUCCUAAUGUUUCAGCCCAAAUUUUCAAGUUGGCAACAACAUCAAGCUGGCUAAAAGAUUCAUUUAUGACAAACAUGUCUCUAAUCUAUUUCUCCGCUUUGAGAGACAUGACGGACCCAGGGAAGGCAUUGCCACCUUGACAUGCUUGCUUGUUUGAUCUAUGAUGUUUUCUAAGGAAAAGUCUUGAUUGAAAGGGAAAGGAGUAAAUAAUGAAGAAACAAAAAAGAGUCACUAUAGCCAAGGUAACAAAAUUGCUUAAAUCAGAAUGGGCUGAAACAUGAGGAAUAGAUGUUAUUUUACUUUAACUAGGACUUAAACAUUUAAAUUCUUCAGUCAUGAGUUAAUGCUUGGAGUUAUAUAUAAAUCUUGUAGAUGAAUUUCUGAAGAAUUUAGGAAAGAAUGUUCAUGAGAAAAGCUUAGGAAAGAAUGUUUACAUAUUUAGACCACCUGACAUCCAUUAUCCAGGCCACUCAACAUCUGAAAGAUUCCCAUCUCGGAACAAACCAGAGGCUCAGAAUGCAGGAGUGUUCUACUCAAGAAUGUACUUUAUAACGAUAAGAAUUUUCAACUUUACUCUUUUCUUGGGGACAUUCUGGAUGUUACCUGGUAGUUUUUCCAAAUUUGCAAAUCUGAAGAUAAUUGAAUAAAACUUUGUCAUUUAAUUCUAGUGAAACCUCCUGGUUCAUUUACACUAGGUCAACAAAGGAAAGCAGAGAAAAAAAAUUAAUUUAUAGAAUCCUCAAAAUUUUUCAUAACUGCAAGAAGUACCUCAGGAAUUAGGGAUGAAAGAAGGAUGGGGCAAGAUGUUUGAAAAUAAUAAGGAAUAGAGGAAAGCUGCAAGACAGAAGACUUCUACCUAGGAAAGUAUAAAACAUCAUGAAAAAUGUUAAAGAGCUAAGUAAAUUGAAAUUGCAAUUAAGCAAGAGAAAGAAACAAAAAUCAGAAAGGAAGAAGCAAAAUUGUCUCGGUUAGCA